rnacentral:misc_RNA from 1 species
GCAAACUUGGUCAUUUAGAGGAAGUAAAAGUCGUAACAAGGUUUCCGUAGGUGAACCUGCGGAAGGAUCAUUAAAGGGUUUUAAAAAGUUCUUUUUUCACCUUGUGUGCAACUAUUGAAAAAAGUAGCCUUUGGGAGAAGGGGUUUCAGAUUUCACAGGAUCUCAUCUCCCAGAGGUACAUGUAUAUUUCAAUCUACAAUUUUUUUUAUGACUAAAAAUUUUAAAAUAAUUAAUAAAACAACUUUCAACAACGGAUCUCUUGGCUCUCGCAUCGAUGAAGAACGCAGC